rnacentral:miRNA from 1 species
CCUGUCCAGGAAGACUUGCACU